GGUAGUUGUCGUGUGUACAGUCACUUUAAAUAUAUUAAAAAUUGAAACUUUACCAGAAAGUUUGAUCAAUGUGCUCAACUUCAUCACACCCGACAUCACAUCGGUAUAAAGCUGGGAAUUAGAGAGCAAGCGAUCUGCCAUCACCGUGACUGUUACAUUCAUGGGUUUGGUUUCGUCGGCGCCAAUCUUGCCGGCGGGAAUCGGAACAUCCCCCACAACUUCACCUCUGUAAUUCAACAAAGCAGAACCGUUCUUGAACUUGAACCCCACGUUGUUUGGGUUCUUGACGGUGAGAUCCACGUCCAAGGUCAAAUUCAGAUCGACGCCCAACCUGGCCAAGUCCAAGGACACACGCAGGUUAUCUAGAGCGAUUGAGUCGAUGGUGGUAGAGGGUUCUUUGGCUUUGAACACCGUUAAUGCCAAGAUCACCACAACCAGAACGAAAACGACGAUGACAGCCGCCGUCAC
rnacentral:misc_RNA from 1 species